GUAGGGAGUAUUGGGCAAUGGUCGGAAGACUGACCCAGCCAUGCCGCGUGCAGGAAGACGGCCCUCUGGGUUGUAAACUGCUUUUAUCUGGGAAGAAAAAGGCCAUGCGUGGCAAAUUGCCGGUACCAGAUGAAUAAGCACCGGCUAACUCCGUGCCAGCAGCCGCGGUAAUACGGAGGGUGCGAGCGUUGUCCGGAUUUAUUGGGUUUAAAGGGUGCGUAGGCGGCUGAUUAAGUCAGCGGUGAAAGACUUCGGCUUAACCGGAGCAGUGCCGUUGAUACUGGUUGGCUUGAGUGUCGGAGGGGUACAUGGAAUUGAUGGUGUAGCGGUGAAAUGCAUAGAUACCAUCAGGAACACCGAUAGCGAAGGCAUUGUACUGGCCGACAACUGACGCUGAUGCACGAAAGUGUGGGGAUCGAACAGGAUUAGAAACCCGUGUAGUCC
rnacentral:rRNA from 1 species